AGGGGCUAAAGUACAUGUGCUUACCUAUACUAGUUCCUUAGUCCAACCGUCGCCGACUAGGAACUCCCCUACAAAGAGCAUAUCUGCCAAAUUCUCACUUGGCUGUGGGAAACAUAAAAAAGCCAAGGAGGGCCAAGCUAAAUAAAAUAAAAUACAAGAAAAAUAGAAAUUACAAUAAUGCCACUUGCACACAAGCAACCAACCAUAGGCUUGACUCAUGACCCUGGGCAAGGUUGCUUGUGGCAUUACAUGUCUUGGCCCUAACACAUGGGGCAACUGCUCGGAGGUGAAGCCAAUCACAUAGGUAAAUAUGUGAAACCGAGACUGAUUGCCGAAAAAUAGUACUUACACUCGAGGGAUCGCAAAUUAGGAAUUAGGGAUCACCGUUUUCACAUCUCCUCAAAUAGUUUCCGAAGAUAUUGCUAUAAUUUCUAACUUGUUGAGGAGAUGCUACGUACUUGUAGCUUGAGGCCUUGAGUUAGAUAUCUAUUUGGCGUGGUGUGGAGGAUCACUUACAAUUGGGGUUUCCUUAAUCUAAGUGAAAGAUUCCAAUCUGCACGGUUUGUAUUUUGUUUGUUCUUCUACUAAUUAAUUCCUGCUUCCUUCCAUUUUUCCUGUCUAAGGCCUCAAGUUUGAGUCCAAUUAUAUUGUUCAUCAAAUUUCCAAUACUUACCUCUCGACAUAUAUAGUUUCGACUGCUUGUUGAUAGUUUGGUUCAUUUGAUUGGGAAGCUAUUUAUGUAUAAACAUUACAUUUUCUCCAAUGGACUGCGCGUGUUUCCUACAACUAGAUGGAGAAGUCUAGAAUGGUUGUUCACCAAAACUGCUACCACCCUACUACUGAAUGUCAGUCUCACAGCCAUUAGUUGUCUCGAUAACUAUAGUUCUCAAUGGACCAUUAGAGAUUAGGUCCUUCCUCUCUAGAAAGAUCUGAUAACUAAAGACAAAUUCUUUAGAUCAGUCAUGGCUAGCUAAUUUUUACAUGUCAAUAACGAUUAAAUUCGUUGAAGUUGAUAUCUAUGUUCUAUCAUUGCUGUCUCUCAACGAUGUGCAACUCUAAUUUAUUAUUUAUAUAUAUAUGAUUUUAACUUUACAAAAGAAACUCUUAUAAACCUGCUGGUUCAUUAUCUUAUCACUACUACAAUUCCUAUCAACAACAACAUACACUUAGUGUGGCAAAAAUAGGCUGAGAGCCACACAUUUUCGUGUCCAACCCUCCCUUGCCAUAUUACAACCACAUUUUUUGGGCUUGUGGAGUGUAGGGCUGUAGCAAUCAACAAAAAGCCACAUUUAAAAGAGAAUGUGGAACUAAGUCAACAAAUCCAUUGUUCCCACUUAUGUGUGGGCCCAGACUGCUAACAAUUUCAAAAUAAAUUAUAUCUUGUUUUUUUAUUAACACCAAUCAAUAUCAAUUAUGGGUCCCACAAGUUUAUUGCACGGGUUGUAUUAUGUAAAUAAACUUCACCAACUUGUACAGUUAAUUUUUUUUACCGUGUCUUACUGUGGUAAAAACAUUAAACCAUUCUAUUAAAUUUUGUAUUUUCAAAAAAAUUUCCAUUAAAAUCACCUUCAACUAUUCCAGACCUGUUUCCAAAUAAAACAUCUAUAUUCACAUUCAAGAAUCCAAAUCAAUGUAAAGAAAAUUAAUGGACUA
rnacentral:lncRNA from 1 species